rnacentral:lncRNA from 13 species
GUCAGCAACUGCUCGAACACCUCAUCCCAAGAUGUGCUGAUGGAGUAUGAUCUGCCUCAGAGGGCCUCCCCUUCUAUUAAGCCUAUAUUGUCUGGUUUGUUUGUUAACAGGGCUCAGUAGGUGCCAUGUGGCUCAGAGAGGUGGCUGGAAGUGACCUUCCGUGACUCAGUUCCACAGGUUUGUUUGCAAGAACACAGACACAUGAGUGGCCACUGACAAUAUGUAUUCCAACAUCAUAUACGGGGCAUAUUUUGCUCAGAAACAUGCCCUGUUAGUUGUUGAAACCCUUUUUGCAUUCCAUGAAACAAAUGACACUAUGGUGUAUUUUCUUUUGGGGGGCAGUAAACAAGUCUUUUAUGUUGACAAUGAUAAUAUUAUAUUCUACAAUCUAUUUGCAUUUCUCUAUUCUGUGGAUUUUAUUGCUUAGUAUAAAUCCCCAGGCCGAGGUGUAUUAAGCUUCACUCAGAGAGAAACAACACAUUUUAUCAUAGGGCCGGACAGCUACAUGUGCAAGAUGCUACCUCCAGGGAUUGAUUUUGGCCAGAUGUGCAGGAGAGAUGCAUAGAGAGGAGGAAAUGCAUACAUGUGUGCAGAUUUUGGCAUGUGCACAAGGAGCCUCGAGGAUUUUCUUUGGAUCUACAGUCAAAAUGGAUUUCCAAGAGGAAGCUGUGUGAAUACACACCUCUUCCCUGUGCUGGUGGAGAUGGUCUCAUCUCCGCCAGCCAGGUUUUCAGGAAAGUGAUCAGCACUUGCUUCAGCUCUGGCUAGAGCUCUUUGGCCAAUGUGAUGGGCAGAAAACUAGAAGGAGGACAGAAAAACACCUCGGAGGCUUGAAGAGUCAAGUCUCUCACCACCUUGCUGUAGGUUUUCUGAAUACUUCUGAGCGUAGGAACAUUUUUUCUUAAAAGACAAGUCAGGAGCUGCUAAGAUAAACCGUAGCAGUAAGCUCGAGCCAGGGUUAAUGUUUACCAUUGAUUGGCCACCAAGUGCUUGCUAUGUGCCAUGCAUUGUGCUAAGCACCAUCUCAUUUAAUAUUCACAACAGUCCUGUGAGGGCUCCAAGUUUGCCUCUGGGUGGAAGGAGAAGGUGGACUAGAACUCAUACGCACUGCAUCCUGGUGAAGAAAUGCACCCUGAGGCCAGAAAAUAGUAUAAACCCAUCUGGUUUCUGCAGCCCAGCAGCGUGAAGAUCAAAGUUGCGUAUAAGGAAUCUGAGGCUCAGAGAGGUUAAGUAUCUUGCCUAUGGGCACACAGAAAGUAAGUAGCAAAUAAUAAGAGCCAUACAAAUUGUAGUUAUUAUUAUGAGGAUACUGUCUGUCUAUCUGUAUGUGUUUGGAAGCUACAGCAAAGCCCCAGGGGAGGUCACUUACCUGUCGUCAUCUCCCAGAACCCAAGCCUGGGUUCUAAUACUGCCAGAGUAAGGCGAGGCAUUUGAGUUCAGAGCAAAAAGGGCUGCCAGGUAUGGAUUCUAGUGUGGAAUUGGAGCCCAGAGGGAAAGCCAGAGAGAGCUUCUCCCCACAUCUGUUUUUCUUUAAUUAAUUAUUUUAUUUUAAAGAUGGAGUCUCUCUAUGUUGGCCAGGCUGAACUCAAGCUCCUGGGCUCAAGGGAUCCUCUCGCCUCAUUCUCCUGAGUAGCUGCAAUUGCAGGCAUGCACCACCGUGCCCAGCUCUGUAUCUGUUUUGAUGUAGUGUUUUAGUUCAGUUCACACCUCUCAGCCACAUAUAUGAGUGCUACCUGUGUGCCUGAAUCUGAGUUUGCCUGGACAUACACUAUCUUAUUUAGUUUUUACCACAGCCUCACAAAUCAGGAA